CCCUCCCCUUUCUCUCUUUUCCUCUUUUUCGUAAAAAACCUAGCCACCGCUUGCCCUAUUUUCUCUCUCUCGUCCUAAAAAUGGAAAAAUCACAGUGCAUGUGUGAAGUACACGGCUUUACAACGUUAUUUUUCAUGCAAUAAAUUAAUGUUGAGGUUGUUUUUAUCCAAAUCUUUCCAAAAUCAGUAAUGAAACCUUUUCUUUAAAAUUACUUAGUCUCAAUUGAUUAUUGUUGUCUGAUUUUUUCUGUAUUGUGUUGAUAUUGCUUGAUUUCAAUUGGUUAAGGUUGAAGGGUUUGGAUCGAGCCAAAUAAGGCUCAGAUCUGGCCGUUCAUUUGUUGAUAAGUCGUUUAAGCCAUAGAUCUGCGUUGUAAGUUCAUUUCCUGGGAAAUUUUGUUUGUCCGACAUCGAUGUUUGGAAGGUUGGAAACAAUUUUUGGGGUUCUAUUUAUAGAACCCCAACCCUCUUACAAAGGGAGCUUUUGGAAAAGGUCGGAGAAAUUGGAAAAUAUUUAAAGAAGGCUAGAAACUUCGAAUUCAAGCCUCUUAAGUAUAAAAUUUUAAGACUUUGAUUUAGUGUAAGGUUAUUCUGAGUUCUAAAAAUUUGUUUCCUUUCUUGUUUUCGAGUCUGUGUGGCUAAGUGUGGUUUGAAAGCACAAAAGGCUUUCAAAUUUGAUUUUGACCACGGCUGCACUUUAAAAAGAAUCGUCAGCUUGGAAGGAGAACACUAGUUGUUGAGGAGACGUGAAGGCAGCACAGCUAAGGCGGGCGGCUUAUGGUAACACUGUGUCUAUAUGGCACGGGCAGCACUUCUAAGGUGGGCUGCUUAUGGAUGAUGACAGCACCACUAGUGGGCGGCGUGAGAUGAUUACCCCAGACGCGGGAGGCCCGGACGCGGCCUAAUGAUGUUAUUGAUUCAGAUAGCUAUGUAUGUAUGUGUGAUUUGUUUUAAAGGUAGACAGGGAGACGGCCCGGAUACCUAGGAGAUUUACCAGCAACUGUACAGGAGCACUCCACUACUCCGGAGUUGCCACUAUCGGUAUAUUCUUUUGUGUAUAUAUUUGGGCAUGGCGGGGUCCUGUCUCGUCCUUAUGUCUUAGUACUGUAAUAGAGGCUCGUAGAUACUCAUGUGGGGUAGUAGAUGUCUUAUGCUCACCUCAGUGUCUAUUUUGUAUAUUAUUUUGUAGCCUUGUGGACUUGUAUGUAUAUACAUAAGUUUUUGGGAGAUUCGGAAAUUGGUGUAUGACAAGUCCUAUGUUGAAAAUG